rnacentral:rRNA from 1 species
CCUACGGGGGGCAGCAGUGAGGAAUAUUGGUCAAUGGGCUUACGCCUGAACCAGCCAAGUCGCGUGAGGGAAGACUGCCCUAUGGGUUGUAAACCUCUUUUGUCAGGGAGCAACGCCGGCUACGUGUAGCGGGAUUGAGAGUACCUGAAGAAAAAGCAUCGGCUAACUCCGUGCCAGCAGCCGCGGUAAUACGGAGGAUGCGAGCGUUAUCCCGAUUGAUUGGGUUUAAAGGGUGCGUAGGCGGAAUGCCAAGUCAGCGGUAAAAUCGCGGGGCUCAACCUCGCUCCGCCGUUGAAACUGGCGUUCUUGAGUGGGCGAGAAGUAUGCGGAAUGCGUGGUGUAGCGGUGAAAGGCAUAGAUAUCACGCAGAACUCCGAUUGCGAAGGCAGCAUACCGGCGCCCAACUGACGCUGAAGCACGAAAGCGUGGGUAUCGAACAGGAUUAGAUACCCGGGUAGUC